CUUUCAAAUACAGGACUCAAGUGGAACAUGAAGAGAUGGAAAUCAUCUCUCUGUGAACUCCUGAUGAAGAGCUGAUGGAGAAACCGGAAAGAUGGUGCCCAGAUAAGAAGUUCUGGAGAUGAAGCCAGAAAGCCAAAAGAAGGGAGAAGCACCACAACUUUGUUCCCGUGGACCCUCAUGGACCAAGCAAGGCAAUGUUGAGAAGCAGCCAUGUUUACCCACUACAGACCCAUGCAUCUGGCAGAUGCUACACAUUGGCCAAGACUAAUUAUCCAGUGGAGAUCACACCAUGGGAGCCCCAUAGGGAGCAGCCCUGGGACAUCAGAGGCAUGGGUUGGCCCUCCACAUGUACACCCUGACUGUGUACAUUCCAUGUGCCUAGAGGCAGUCUGUCUUUAGCCCUGAUCCAUUAAGCACUUGAAAUGAAUAGCUUAAAUAUGAUGAAGGCUAACAUCAAAUUUGUGGAGGGAUGGUUAAUAUGUUUAAUGACAAAUCUGGAAUGCAAAAAAAACCCUCAAAAAACCAAGAAACAAAAACUAAAGCCACCAACUUAGACUAGAAUGAUGCACUGAGUUGAAAACGAAACUUAGUAAGAAUAAAUUUAAAUUCCUGCACCUGGGUUCAAAGCAAUAAAUUACAGAAGAAUGGGAGGAUUGGCUCAAUGAAAGUUCAUUCAAAAAGAUCUAGGAGUUUUAGCUGACCAUAAGCUCAAUGUAUUCAAUAGUGGGAUUUGGCUGCCAGAAAAAGGGAAAAGAAUGGGAAUAAACGUUUCUUAAGCACCUCCUAAAUGCCAGGCAGUAUACUAAGUGCUUUAUAAAUAGUAUCUUAUUUGAUCCUCACAACAACCCCACAAGGUAGGUGCUGUU